ensembl:lncRNA
GUACUCUUCUGUCUGGCUUUCUUGAUGUGCUGUUAAGGAGGCUCUGCAGCUCCUGCCUCUCUAACUGCGGUGUGUCUGUCCAGUAACACAGACAGAGCUGAGCGCUCCCUGAGCCUCUUUCAGUACCCUUCCGCCUCAAAUGGUGUUGUUCAUCGUGGGCUGUCACACAUGUAAUCUCAGCCUGAGGACAGUCUGAGUUAACGCUGGAGGAAGAGGGAAGUGUGUUAUUUCAGUUCUCUGUGAAGAGCCUCCUCUGUGUCACUCUUGCUCUGACAAAGCAGCAAAGAUGCUCCACCAGAGAGCGCAUAAAGGUAGUGGAAGAAGUGGCAGCCAUGAUACACAUACAUCGUGAUGCUGUGCUAAGCUGCCACGAGUACUGCGGUAUGAUGAUCUCAAGCAGAUAUUGAUGGCUGUUGCAUUUCUCUAUAGAAGGGACUGGGGAUGUGAGAUAGGACCUCCAGCUGGUACGGGCAAACUUACCCUCUCCUCAG